rnacentral:rRNA from 1 species
GUGCCAGCAGCCGCGGUAAUACCGGCAGCCCAAGUGAUGGCCGCUGUUAUUGGGCCUAAAGCGUCCGUAGCUGGCCGCACGAGUCCGUCGGGAAAUCCGCCCGCUCAACGGGCGGCCGUCCGGCGGAACCUGUGUGGCUUGGGACCGGGAGGCCUGAGGGGCACGAUCGGGGUAGGAGUGAAAUCCUGUAAUCCUGGACGGACCACCGGUGGCGAAAGCGCCUCGAGAGGACGGACCCGACAGUGAGGGACGAAAGCCAGGGUCUCGAACCGGAUUAGAAACCCCAGUAGUCC